rnacentral:tRNA from 1 species
GGGAAUGUAGCUCAGUGGCAGAGCACAAGCCUGUUAUGUGUGAGGCCUUGGGUUCAAUCCCCAGCACCG